UAUUUUUCGUUAAUUUGGUUCUAGAAAGAAUAGUUUUUAUGCGAAAUUUUUUCCCAUAAAUAAUAAUUAGAGCCAUUAAAAUUAAUGGCUUGUUUAGUUCAAGAGUGAAACUGAAACGAAUAAUAGAAUAAAAAUAAAUUAAGAAUUAAUUGAACUGGCCCACUCCCCAAGUCGUUUGGUUCAUUACCGGAUUGGAAAUUGAAAUGAAAUUUUUUUUUUCCACUAUUUGGUUCGUAUAAAUUAAAAGAUAAUAGAAUAACAUAAUACUAAAUUUACUCUCAAAUAUAGUUCUUCUAUCUAAAAUUUAUAAAUAAUUUAACCCUAUUCUCAAAUUAUGACUUUUGCAAAAAAAAAAAUCAUAUUUAUUUUAAAUAUGUU
rnacentral:lncRNA from 1 species